UGGGGAAUAUUGCACAAUGGGCGCAAGCCUGAUGCAGCCAUGCCGCGUGUGUGAAGAGGGCCUUCGGGUUGUAAAGCACUUUCAGCGAGGAGGAAGGUGGUGAGCUUAAUACGCUCAUCAAUUGACGUUACUCGCAGAAGAAGCACCGGCUAACUCCGUGCCAGCAGCCGCGGUAAUACGGAGGGUGCAAGCGUUAAUCGGAAUUACUGGGCGUAAAGCGCACGCAGGCGGUUUGUUAAGUCAGAUGUGAAAUCCCCGGGCUCAACCUGGGAACUGCAUUUGAAACUGGCAAGCUAGAGUCUCGUAGAGGGGGGUAGAAAUUUCCAGGUGUAGCGGUGAAAUGCGUAGAGAUCUGGAGGAAUACCGGUGGCGAAGGCGGCCCCCCUGGACGAAGACUGACGCUCAGGUGCGAAAGCGUGGGGCAGCAAACAAGAUUAGAUACCCUGGUAGUCCAGCGCUGUAAACGAUGUCGAUUUGGAGGUUGUGCCCUUGAGGCGUGGCUUCCGGAGCUAACGCGUUAAAUCGACCGCCUGGGGAGUACGGCCGCAAGGUUAAAACUUAAAUGAAUUGAC
rnacentral:rRNA from 1 species